rnacentral:rRNA from 1 species
CCCUUAGAUGUUCUGGGCCGCACGCGCGCUACACUGUUCGACGCAGCGAGUCUUAACCUUGACCGAAAGGUUUGGGUAAUCUUCAGCAAAGUCGAACGUGAUGGGGAUCGAUCAUUGCAAUUAUUGAUCGUGAACGAGGAAUUCCUAGUAAGCGCGAGUCAUCAGCUCGUGCUGAUUACGUCCCUGCCCUUUGUACACACCGCCCGUCGCUCCUACCGAUUGAGUGCUCAGGUGAAUAAUUCGGACUGCAGCAAUGUUUGGAUCCCGAACGUUGCAGCGGAAAGUUUAGUGAACCUUAUCACUUAGAGGAAGGAGAAGUCGUAACA